AUUUGAUACAAUACCAAAGCAAUAAUAAUCGAAAAACAACUAUACCAUCGCAUACUAAUAAGUAACCCAUAACAGAACCAAAUUCUUGAAUAUUAAAACAAAUUUCAACUCAAGCAUUUACUGAAUAUCAAAUUAACUAAUAUCCCGCCCGUAGGGCGGGCCAACCCUAGUUUCUUAUAAAUUGAAGUUUUACAUAUAAGUGAAGGAGAAAGCAUAGGAUUCGGAUAAAAGUAAUAAAUGGAAGACGGUAUGGACCACCGAUUUAUAUACUUUGGAAAUUAGUAAUCUAGUUGGUCCAAGAGAGGCGUUAUCACGUGUCUUUAGCAAGACUCAUGAGACAUCAUACAUUUAUUUUUAUUCAAAGAGGCAUAUCAGCAUCACUGGCUACAUGUGUGUAUGCGUAUGUUAUUGUAUACAGUACUGAUACCUGUAUUUAAAUAUGUACUGCUUUUAUUACAUGGACGGCAAAUUACCAAAUAUAAUCUAAGACACCUGAACAUUUAUUUUAUCUAUGUUUUGAACCGAUGAGUGAAAACCCAAACUUAUAAAAAUAUGCAAUUUGGUUUAAAAAUGCAUUAGUAGUGGUUUUACAACAUCCUAGUCAUCUAAAUAUAUCUUCUUAAAUUGAUAUGGCUAAAUCUUGGUUAUGUGCGUGUGAACUUACUACUCUACUUAACAACUCUUUGGGACCAAAAUCACAUUUCAAGUGAAACAUUAGGAUGGUCCCGAAAAACAAAGCUUAUGUUGCAGCGCGCGCAGUUAUACAAAAGAACGUUAGAAGAUACUGUAUAAGUCACAUCACCAAUGGCCUCUUCUGUAUAUUUGUUUAUUACGAUGUUAACAUUAUUUCUGGUUGCAUUGCCUAUAUCCAAUAUUUAUUACAUAGAGACAGAUGACUUGAAGCUAUAUAGUGUGGACGCUUUAACUUUCUCAACUACUUUGUAAAAGGUUGAGAAUCGGCAUGGCUCGUGAACGAAGAUUGUAUUGAACAAAUACGUUGUUAUCUACUUGGCUAUAUCCAAAAGAUGAAAAGAAAAAGGUACAAUGACAACAUGCAAAUUCGAGAUAUAGGUUUCCCCCAAGUUUUGUCGCGGGGUGGAUAAUCAAUCAAAUAUUUUAAAAAUGAAGGGAGAGUUUAUAAAUAGCACCUAAGAUGAGGCGUUUGUAGUUCCAAAAUCCAAUGAACUAAAAAGAUGACUUCAAUUAGACAUCACUGACACGUUAACUUUACGUUUUUAAUUCCAGAAGUACUUUGAUUCUCGAGCCCAAAACUCAUGCGCUGUAACACUUGGAACUUGUAAAAGUGGAGAAGAGAAGGAUCUUUAUUGAUUAACUCAGGAAGCUACUUUGUUGUUAUAAACCCUAGCAUCUGAAUGCUAAAUACUAGGAGUGCAAAUGUCAAAAUCCCUACAAAAUGUGCAAAAUCGUAUUUUUAUGUAUAAUAUAAUCAGCUGAUAUAAUUGACUAUCUUUAUAAAUUUAAGUCUCAACAUUUCAAAUAUUCAUGGUUACCAGCCAAAAAUGCAGUUUUUUUUUUACAAAAUUACAAUUAUACAUUGUUACUUGUUAGAUGUGUUGAUGAUAACCAGAUUUGAAUAUGGUUACAUAUUUUUACACAAAACCAUUAAAUUUUGUGGACAAAAAAUUCUAAGACAAAACUAUGAGAAAUUAAAUUAGAACUAUCUAAUAUGCAAGCUGCCUUUAACUGAUGUUCCAACAUCCACAUGUAAGAUUCGUACGUAUAUAUCGAUCCAUACCUAACCUUAGAACCAAAAUGUCCCAAACAUUGUAAUCAUCGAUCAGGUCGAAGAUUCCGGUCUUUCCUACGUUUUCUAAAAUCUCUUGUUAGUUUUAAAAGUUAACUAGAUUUUGACCCGCGCUUUCAAAGCGCGGGAUUAUCUAAUUUUGAAAUAUAUUUUAUUUAUAACUUGUAUAACAUGUAUAUUUUUUUAAUCAGUGUUUUUAUGUUAUAUUUUUAGUAGCGGUUUUAUAUAAUUAGGAUGAUAAGUAACUAUAUAUAAAUAUAAAAAUAUAUAAUCUUGAUGCUAAUAUAAUAGUAUAGAUGUAUACAUAUAUAUAUAUAUAUAUGUAUUUAUAGUUGAGAGGUUGUGAAAGAGUUCAAAUAUUAAGUGGGUUUUUUUAAUAUUAUCAGACAUAUUUUACUAUCAAAACUAAAAACUAAAUUGGUAUCUAUAAUUUUUCAAAUUUGUCAUAAGUAAAAACUAUAAAUGUAAUUUUUAAAAUUAAAAAUAUAUAACUUGUUUUGUAGUUUUUUUUCUUUGUUUUGGGUAAUAAUUAUGUAUAUGUAAGGGUAGCAGUAGAUGAUUUGUGUUAAUUAUGUAAAGUUUUUUUUAAAGUGUAAUUAAUAUCCUUUUGUCAGAUUUGUUUAGUGGGAUGUUGAAAUUAUUUUACCAUCUUAUUAGUCCACAUUGGAAAUUAACGCUAAAUCUUUUUUGCAUAUAUAAGUCGUCUUAAGACACUAUAAGAUAGUCAAAAAAUAUAUUAAAUAUUUUCUUUAUGUUGAAAUUAAAAAGACAAAAAAAUCUGAUUCUUUAGUAUUAUUAAAAAAUCAGAUAGUGAAAGUAAAAAGACAAAAACUCUGCCGACAUCUUCAUUUUCUCCGUAACUUCUCUCAAAUUAGAAAAGCAAUCGCUCUCCUCGUUGUUUCCGAUUCGAAGAUCUCCCAAAAAAAAUCAGAAGGAGUAAUCUCAUUUCUUGUUCAUCUCUGUGUGUUAUAAAAGAGUAAAAGCUCACAGAGUAAAAGAGAGUUUCGAAAACUUAUAGCUUUGAAUGAUAAGCACUGAGAUCUCAGAUCUGUUCAGAUCUUGUUGAUAACUUGGAUCGAAGAGGAAGUGAAAGAUCAUAAAAGCAUUGAAACAGAAGCUUUAAAAGUCGGUAGAUUCACAGAGGAUUUGACCAUACCCAAUAUCUAGAGCUGAAGGCAAAAUCUUGUGAACAAACAUGUUCAUGGAGUUGUGAAAAUCUCAGCUCCAUGAAUCCUCUCAUAUGUCCAUAACGAUCUCUGCAUUUCCAACACGAUCUCUGCCCUUCCAGCGUGAUAAGUGGUUGUCGAUUGUAUCAUAAGAAGAGUUGGAAGACAACCAAAGGUAAAUAUAAUAUCAUCUGUUCUUCAGAUUUUUAAAUAACAGAUAUAAAAUUACGGCCACCACUUGUGAUGAGAAAGUCUUCUAAUUAAUUUAGAACCUAAACAUAGGAACAAAGUAAAGAAAGAUGAUGCCGUAUCUUCUAAAAUAUUUUAUUAGUUUUGAAAUAAUACCGAUAACUGAUUUAUUCAUCUACUUCACUGAUUUAUAUAUAAUUUACAUUAAUUUUCUCCAUUCAAAGUACAAAAUAUAUUUGUUAAUAAUAAAAAUUGCGAUUUUUGGUGAUUUUAAAAAGCAUACAAUCAAUGUUAGUUUCAAAUCAAAAUUAACACUACGUUUACCUUAACUAUAACAACUGUUUUAAUAGUAUAGAUUUAUAUCUACAACAUCAAAUAUUAUAUUAUCCUCAUGAACAGAGCUAUAGUGAUUAUUUCUCACCUCGAUAUGUAAUUGAAACUUUUGAUUAAUUCAAGUAUAUUUGAAUUUGAGUUGGUUAAUUUUGUGUAGAUUGGUGUGGAUCAAACAUUUGACGAUUAACUUAACAAUGCAUUAGGAUAAAUAGACUGAUUGAAAAGCAGAAAUCCAACAUAAGUUUAUGAAAGAAAAAAAAACCAACGAAUUUUUUAAAAAAAAAAAAACUCAAAUGAAAGAAAACAAUAAACAGUAGUCUUCUUCCUAACUUAGCCACGUUUCUUAGCAGCCUCUUCUGCCUUCUCGAUUUUAACAGUCAUUAAGCAUGGUUUCUUUGAUGUUGAACUGAUGUCAGGUAGAGAAAUAGCCUCAUCUUUGUUUCUCUUACUGGAUGGUGUGGACACAGACUCGUUAAGUUCUUGGCUAUCAGUCAAAUAAACAGAACCCUGCAUAAAAACACAUUGAUAAGGUCGUUAAGAAAGAAACUCUCGCGUUAAAAAUAUUGAUAUCAACUUAGAUUAGACAAUUUUACCUCAUCAACACUGGUAAUUGUCAAGGGCGUAUCAGACUGAACUGGUGUGAUUGAACCAGUUAAGCAAUUCAUCCUGUCUUUGUAGAUUUUUCCGACUUUGUAUAUCUCAGCACCAUAAGAUACAUUAUCCUUCUCAACAUAGACUCCAAAUGCGAAACUUUGUCCAAUCAAAUCAGUAAUAGCGUCUGGUAUUAAGCUUGUGUCUUCAAGCUGUCAAAAUAGAGUUAUAGAUUAGUUUUAUUUCGUCAGUAGGAUUGCAUAAAAUAAUCGCCAUAUUUAAUUAUAAUAUUUACCUCAUCCCAGCUUCCAUUCAACAACUUGACUGGGGAUUCAGCAACAAUCCCAUUAGCCACCUUGUCUAGGAUCAUUAUUUUUGACAGACCAGUAUCAUCUUUGACCAUCAAAUGAAGCCAGAACCUAUAGAGUUGACAGACAUCAGUGAUUCUUUUAACUGGUCAACAUCAGUAUAAUGUAAAAAGCAUGUCGUUUUAUUUUAUUUCUUUAAGCCAUACCUUGGUGAAACUUUCAGAACAUAGUCGUUGCAUGCCUCACACCACCAAAUAUGAGUGGUGAUCUCAAUUCCAUUCACUAUCUUAUUCUUGGUGCCUGUUUUUAUCACCCUUUUUUGGCAUGCAUCACAACCAAAGUAAUACCAGGACCAAUCCAUAUCAAUUUCAUAGACUGUGCAAGUCACUAAACAUUUAUCAACCUAAACAAUAAAAAAUAAAAUGGUUUUAACCAAUGUACACGGGCUAUACAUUUUAACAUAAGUAAAAUAGCGCGGGUAAACUGCUUACUUGAGUUGAUGCUUUCAUUUCAUAAAUGUUUUUAGUGGGGUAUAGCAACCACUUAUCACGCUGUCCUCGCUUAUCUGCCUGAUCAAUUUGCUUCUUGAUGUACUCUUGACUGUCCUCAUUAAUUUCAUACGGCAUUAGAGUUUUGUCAUCCCCAGUAUCCCUUACAAAAAUAUACUCUCAAAGUUAGUCUGAUAGACAAAUAAGUACUGUAAAAAAAAAAAAAGAUCAUCCCCUUACAUAUCUUUAAAUGCUUCUGCGUCUGGUAUUGCAGGGUUGAUGAUCAUUUGAGAAGCAUCAAAGGAGUUAGAAAUUUGUACUUCUCCUGUUGUGGAUACGAUUUAGUAGAUUAGAUAUUAUACAGGCUUAUGUAUAUAAUAAUUGUUAUUUUUUUAACGAAAUCUAGCGAAGUUCAAAUAUGCACCUCUGAACUUUCCAAUUUUUGCAAACCUCAGAAGCAAAGUAACCAAACCAUCGUCUUGAUUGCAGGCAGAAUGGAGAGUGUCGGUUAACUUGCCCCAAAUACAGCAUGGUAUUCUUGAAUCACUAACUCACAAGUAAAAAAAGCGAGAUAUGGUUUGUUGUGCGAUAUGCUCCUCCAGCAGGCCUGACUUGGAAGUUUCUGAUGUUGCGCCAUACUCCAACCAGAAGAAGUCUUCCUUUACUCUCAAAGUAAGUCUUUUUGCAGCUUGCAUGAAUUUUAUGACCCUUGUACAUGUUACAAUUAAAUAAAUUAGAAAUAUUAACAUCACUUAAUAUCAAUGCUCAAGUUACACAA